UACGUAGGGGGCAAGCGUUGUCCGGAAUCAUUGGGCGUAAAGAGCGUGUAGGCGGCCCGAUAAGUCCGCUGUGAAAGUCCAGGGCUCAACCCUGGAAUGCCAGUGGAAACUGUCGGGCUGGAGUCCGGAAGAGGCGAGUGGAAUUCCUGGUGUAGCGGUGAAAUGCGCAGAUAUCAGGAUGAACACCAAUGGCGAAGGCAGCUCGCUGGGACGGUACUGACGCUGAGACGCGAAAGCGUGGGGAGCAAACAGG
rnacentral:rRNA from 1 species